GUCCACGCCCUAAACGAUGUCAACUGGUUGUUGGGGAUUUAUUCUCUUAGUAACGAAGCUAACGCGUGAAGUUUACCGCCUGGGGAGUACGGUCGCAAGAUUAAAACUCAAAGGAAUUGACGGGGGCCCGCACAAGCGGUGGAUGAUGUGGAUUAAUUCGAUGCAACGCGAAAAACCUUACCUACGCUUGACAUGUCCGAAAGCCUGAAGAUAUUUAGGUGUGCUCGAAAGAGAAUCGGAACACAGGUGCUGCAUGGCUGUCGU
rnacentral:rRNA from 1 species